GACCGUACGAUAAUAUAAUAUACUCAUAUUAUUUCAGACAGAUACCCAAAGGAUCAAUGAGGCUUACCUCAAAAUUUUUGGCGAUUGGGCUCCUUCUUCAGUCGUUGCAUGCACUAAUCUAAACAUGGCUUCUGAAUUUGUUUCUCUCUUUGGCAAUUUUCUGAUUUGAAGCUUGAGCUCAUUUUCAUUGUAUUGAGAUACAGAUCUUGUUGCUCAACCUUACACAGACGAGCUCGUUGAUCAAAUUAUUGAGGAUAUUGAAUCUAUAAAAGAGGAGCAUUGUAAUUUCAAAAAGUUUCUUCCCAAAGAUUGUCGGCAAAAAUCACAAGAAAGUAAAGACGAAGGUGUCUCUGAACUUCAAUCCCUUGAACACAUUCACAUCCUUGUUCUAACUCGAGAACUUGAGAAGGUUGGAAUUAAUUUUACUGUUUUGACUCACUUGAUCGAAGAGCAACGUAUGUUUGCAGACAAGAUGUCUAAAAAAAGAGUGAUAAAAAUACCAUGUUGACGUGGUUUUUUGCCAACAGAUAAUUAUACGAAUAAAUAGGAUGGAUUAGUACUGAUUGAUAAACCGUAAUAUGACAAUGAUAUUAAUUGAGAAUGUGGAAACUAAUUGCAAAGAAAA